rnacentral:rRNA from 1 species
CUACGUGCCAGCAGCCGCGGUAAUACGUAGGUGGCAAGCGUUGUCCGGAUUUAUUGGGCGUAAAGCGAGCGCAGGCGGUUCCUUAAGUCUGAUGUGAAAGCCCCCGGCUCAACCGGGGAGGGUCAUUGGAAACUGGGGAACUUGAGUGCAGAAGAGGAGAGUGGAAUUCCAUGUGUAGCGGUGAAAUGCGUAGAUAUAUGGAGGAACACCAGUGGCGAAGGCGACUCUCUGGUCUGUAACUGACGCUGAGGCUCGAAAGCGUGGGUAGCAAACAGGAUUAGAUACCCUGGUAGUCCACGCCGUAAACGAUGAGUGCUAAGUGUUGGAGGGUUUCCGCCCUUCAGUGCUGCAGUUAACGCAUUAAGCACUCCGCCUGGGGAGUACGACCGCAAGGUUGAAACUCAAAGGAAUUGACGGGGGCCCGCACAAGCGGUGGAGCAUGUGGUUUAAUUCGAAGCAACGCGAAGAACCUUACCAGGUCUUGACAUCCCUCUGACCGCUCUAGAGAUAGAGUUUUC